ACAAAGAGAGUGAUGCCGUGGUAGAAUCUCCGCGUCCUCUGAGCAAGAAAGCAAGCUAGCGAGUGCAGAAACAAACCCUAAAGCCCUAAUCAAAGUGAGCAAUUGGUAAAUCGCAAUUGGACCGCCACUCUGGCAUUGGGUGAAGUGAGAAGCGCGAUAAAUGGGUGCGAGUCGAAAGCUCCAGGGAGAGAUAGAUCGUGUUCUCAAGAAGGUUCAGGAAGGUGUUGAAGUCUUCGAUAGCAUCUGGAACAAGGUUUACGACACGGACAAUGCUAACCAGAAGGAGAAAUUUGAAGCAGACCUCAAGAAGGAGAUUAAGAAGCUACAGAGAUAUAGAGACCAAAUCAAGACAUGGAUUCAGUCCAGUGAGAUCAAGGACAAGAAGGUUAGUGCCUCGUAUGAGCAAGCUUUGGUGGAUGCGCGUAAGCUAAUUGAACGAGAAAUGGAAAGAUUUAAGAUAUGUGAGAAGGAAACAAAGACCAAAGCGUUUUCUAAAGAAGGCUUAGGUCAGCAGCCCAAGACUGAUCCGAAAGAGAAGGCUAAAUCAGAGACAAGGGACUGGUUAAACAAUGUGGUUGGAGAGUUAGAAUCACAGAUUGAUAACUUUGAAGCAGAGCUUGAAGGGCUUUCUGUUAAGAAAGGAAAGAACAGGCCACCCAGAUUGACACAUCUAGAGACAUCAAUUACUCGGCACAAGGCUCAUAUAAAAAAAUGUGAAUUCAUUUUGAGGCUACUAGAUAAUGAUGAAUUAAGUCCUGAGCAAGUUAAUGAUGUUAAAGAUUUCUUGGAUGACUAUGUUGAGCGUAAUCAGGAGGAUUUUGAUGAGUUUAGUGAUGUCGAUGAACUGUACAGUUCAUUACCUUUAGACAAGGUGGAGACCCUAGAAGAUCUUGUUACAAUUCCCACUGGUCUUUCUAAGGUGGCACCUAGUCUUGGCGUGAAAAAUUCUUCAGCAGUCUCAACAUCACAAUCAGCAUCAGCAUCUGCAUCACAAACAUCUGAGCAAGCUGACGACACAGCAUCCCAGGAUAGCAAUUCUGACAAUGUUGCCAAAACACCACCUCCUAAAAGUGGUGGAAUUGGUUCUACUGCUUCAACUCCUACUGGCAACCACACUUCUCCGAUUUCUGUGAAUGUUUCUAGUCAUACACUGUCUAGUCCACCUGCUGUUGCAGCCAUACCUAGUUCAAAUUCCGUGCGGAAUGUCUUGGAGAGUAGUAAUGUUACCAAUUCAUCUUCUGUAAAUCAGUCUACGUCUACAAAGGAAGAAGACAUUAAUAGCUUCCCUAGCAGGAGACCGUCUCCAUCACUUUCUGAUGCGACACUCUUGAGGGGAAGAAACUCUCUAUCAAAUCAAGCAACAGCCAGCAUCCCUCUUGGUUCUGCAAACAUAGUCCCUAGCAAUGGGGCCCUGGGAUCAGUCCCUUCAGCUUCUGAAAUAGCUAAAAGGAACAUGUUGGCAGCUGAUGAUAGACUUGGAAGUAGUGCGAUGGUGCAGCCUCUUGUAUCCCCGCUAAGUAAUAGAUUGAUCUUGCCUCAGGCAGCAAAGGCUAAUGAUGGAACUGUUUCAGUAGACUCUGGUGCUGUUAAUGAUGCUGCUGCAGCUGUAUCUGGGAGAGUUUUCUCCCCUUCUGUGGUUCCUGGCAUGCAAUGGAGACCAGGAAGUCCCUUUCAGAAUCAGAAUGAUGCGGGCCAGCUUCGUGGAAGAACUGAAAUAGCUCCUGAUCAAAGGGAAAAGUUUUUACAGAAGUAUCAGCAAGUGCAACAAGGGCACGGUACCCUUCUUAAUAUGCCUUCUCUUGUUGGGGGAAACCAUAAGCAGUUUUCUGCCCAGCAACAAAACCCCCUUUUGCAACAGUUUAACUCUCAUGGCUCAUCUGUUUCUUCUCAAUCUGGUAUUGGACUUGGGGUCCAGUCCACUAGUCUCAGUGGUAUUUCUUCUGCAUCACUACAGCAGCCACCCAAUUCUGUCCAUUCCCCCUCUAGUCAACAGUCACUGAUGCCAGGUGUUUCUAAAGAUUCAGACGGUGGCAAUUCUAAGGGUGAAGAACAGCAGCAACAUCAGAACUUUACUGAUGAGCCAACAACUGAAUCUACUGCUAGCACUGCGAUUGGCAAGAAUCUCAUAAAUGAAGAUGAUUCAAAAUCAGCAUAUGCUGUAGAUUCGCCUGUAGGAGUGUCUGCCUCUCUUUCAGAAUCUGCUCAAACUUCCAGAGAUAUUGAUUUGUCUCCGGGCCAACCAUUACAAUCCAAUCAACCUACUGGCAACCUUGGUGUCAUUGGUAGAAGAAAUGGUGCUGAACAUGGAGCAAUUGGUGAUAGUUUUAGUGCAUCCAGUGUUAGUUCUGGUGGAGUGCGUGAUCAGUUGUAUAAUUUGCAAAUGCUUGAGGCAGCCCACUUCAAAAUUCCCCUACCCAAAGACUCUGAACGUCCCAGGACUUAUACGCCUAAGCAUCCGACAAUUACACCUCCAAGUUAUCCUCAAGUACAGUCACCUAUUGUUAAUAAUCCUGCCUUUUGGGAGAGAGUGGGUCUGGAACCAUUUGGCACUGAUACUCUAUUCUUUGCAUUUUAUUACCAACAGAAUACUUACCAACAAUAUUUGGCUGCAAAGGAGUUAAAGAAGCAGUCUUGGAGAUACCACAGAAAGUAUAACACUUGGUUUCAGCGGCAUGAAGAGCCCAAAGUUGCCACUGAUGAAUAUGAGCAGGGAACUUAUGUGUACUUUGAUUUCCAUAUUGCAAAUGAUGACAUGCAACAUGGAUGGUGUCAAAGAAUUAAGACUGAAUUCACUUUUGAGUACAAUUAUCUUGAAGAUGAUCUCCUUGUAUAAACGACGCCAUCCGGUAUUGCGAGAUGCUUGGAAUUCUUGACCAGAAAGUUAUUUAUUCAAUGCACAUCGUGACUAGCAGUUUAUUAGGCUCCCAUCCUUUAUGAAAGCAGUGCGUUUGUAUCAUCUUCUUCAUACUAAUUUUCGUAGAUUAAUUGCGACCUUAAAGGUGAGGUAAUCUAGUCUCCAAUUAACUAGAGAUAUGACUAAAAUAAAACAUGGACAAUCUUCAAACAUACAAGCUAAUUUCAUAAGAUUCAACCCAAAUUCUAUGAAGCAUUAUGUACUCCGAUGGAUGAACUGUUAUCGGACUAAGAAUUUAACUUUCAUCAUGGUCUUACUGGACAGUGACAACAGUACAGAUGGUGGUGGCCAGACUUUCGAUGGAGCCAGAAUCACAUAUUUCUAUUGCCAUCUGAAUUGUCAAAAUCAGGAGUGGAAUUGAACUAAGA